GGGGCAACCCUGAUCCAGCAAUGCCGCGUGUUGUGAAGAAGGCCUUCGGGUGUGUAAAGCACUUUUGUCCGGAAAGAAAACGCCGUGGUUAAUACCCGUGGCGGAUGACGGUACCGGAAGAAUAAGCACCGGCUAACUACGUGCCAGCAGCCGCGGUAAUACGUAGGGUGCAAGCGUUAAUCGGAAUUACUGGGCGUAAAGCGUGCGCAGGCGGUCCGCUAAGACAGAUGUGAAAUCCCCGGGCUUAACCUGGGAACUGCAUUUGUGACUGGCGGGCUAGAGUAUGGCAGAGGGGGGUAGAAUUCCACGUGUAGCAGUGAAAUGCGUAGAGAUGUGGAGGAAUACCGAUGGCGAAGGCAGCCCCCUGGGCCAAUACUGACGCUCAUGCACGAAAGCGUGGGGAGCAAACAGGAUUAGAUACCCUGGUAGUCCACGCCCUAAACGAUGUCAACUAGUUGUCGGGUCUUCAUUGACUUGGUAACGUAGCUAACGCGUGAAGUUGACCGCCUGGGGAGUACGGUCGCAAGAUUAAAACUCAAAGGAAUUGACGGGGACCCGCACAAGCGGUGGAUGAUGUGGAUUAAUUCGAUGCAACGCGAAAAACCUUACCUACCCUUGACAUGUAUGGAAUCCUGCUGAGAGGUGGGAGUGCCCGAAAGGGAGCCAUAACACAGGUGCUGCAUGGCUGUCGUCAGCUCGUGUCGUGAGAUG
rnacentral:rRNA from 1 species